rnacentral:rRNA from 1 species
UACGUAGGGUGCGAGCGUUAAUCGGAAUUACUGGGCGUAAAGCGUGCGCAGGCGGUUUUGUAAGCCAGAUGUGAAAGCCCCGGGCUUAACCUGGGAAUGGCAUUUGGGACUGCAAGGCUUGAGUGCGGCAGAGGAGACUGGAAUUCCCGGUGUAGCAGUGAAAUGCGUAGAUAUCGGGAGGAAUACCGAUGGCGAAGGCAGGUCUCUGGGCUGACACUGACGCCCAGGCACGAAAGCGUGGGGAGCAAACAGG